rnacentral:rRNA from 1 species
GAUGAACGCUGGCUACAGGCUUAACACAUGCAAGUCGUGGGGAAACGGCAUUAUGUGCUUGCACAUUCUGGACGUCGACCGGCGCACGGGUGAGUAUCGCGUAUCCAACCUGCCCCUUACUUGGGGAUACCCCGUCGAAAGACGGCCUAAUACCCGAUGUGUUUCAUUGACGGCAUCCGAUAUGAAACAAAGGUUUUUCCGGUAAGGGAUGGGGAUGCGUCUGAUUAGCUAGUUGGCGGGGCAACGGCCCACCAAGGCGACGAUCAGUAGGGGUUCUGAGAGGAAGGUCCCCCACAUUGGAACUGAGACACGGUCCAAACUCCUACGGGAGGCAGCAGUGAGGAAUAUUGGUCAAUGGACGCAAGUCUGAACCAGCCAAGUAGCGUGCAGGAUGACGGCCCUAUGGGUUGUAAACUGCUUUUAUGUGGGAAUAAAGUGGCGCACGUGUGCGCCAUUGCAUGUACCUCAUGAAUAAGGACCGGCUAAUUCCGUGCCAGCAGCCGCGGUAAUACGGAAGGUCCGGGCGUUAUCCGGAUUUAUUGGGUUUAAAGGGAGUGUAGGCGGUCUGUUAAGCGUGUUGUGAAAUUUAGGUGCUCAACAUUUAACUUGCAGCGCGAACUGUCAGACUUGAGUACACGCAGCGCAGGCGGAAUUCAUGGUGUAGCGGUGAAAUGCUUAGAUAUCAUGAGGAACUCCGAUCGCGAAGGCAGCCUGCGGGAGUGUUACUGACGCUUAAGCUCGAAGGUGCGGGUAUCGAACAGG